rnacentral:ncRNA from 1 species
CAUGAUGAGCUUUUAAAGCUUGGAUUGUAUAGACGGUAGUUGCAGUCGCCUACAUUAAAUAAUUUUUUUUAAUGAAAAAAGACUCAUUUAAAAAUGAGUCUUUACAACGUUAGGAUUAUUAUGAUUUUAACGAACUGU